GAUGAACGCUGGCGGCGUGCCUAAUACAUGCAAGUCGAGCGAACAGACGAGGAGCUUGCUCCUCUUACGUUAGCGGCGGACGGGUGAGUAACACGUGGAUAACCUACCUAUAAGACUGGGAUAACUUCGGGAAACCGGAGCUAAUACCGGAUAAUAUAUUGAACCGCAUGGUUCAAUAGUGAAAGACGGUUUUGCUGUCACUUAUAGAUGGAUCCGCGCCGCAUUAGCUGGUUUGUAAGUUAACGGCUUACCAAGGCAACGAUGCGUAGCCGACCUGAGAGGGUGAUCGGCCACACUGGAACUGAGACACGGUCCAGACUCCUACGGGAGGCAGCAGUAGGGAAUCUUCCGCAAUGGGCGAAAGCCUGACGGAGCAACGCCGCGUGAGUGAUGAAGGUCUUCGGAUCGUAAAACUCUGUUAUUAGGGAAGAACAAAUGUGUAAGUAACUAUGCACGUCUUGACGGUACCUAAUCAGAAAGCCACGGCUAACUACGUG
rnacentral:rRNA from 1 species